UGGGGAAUAUUGCGCAAUGGGGGAAACCCUGACGCAGCAACGCCGCGUGAAGGAUGAAGGUUUUCGGAUUGUAAACUUCUUUGACGAGGGACGAAAAAAAUGACGGUACCUCGAAAACAAGCUCCGGCUAACUACGUGCCAGCAGCCGCGGUAAUACGUAGGGAGCGAGCGUUGUCCGGAUUUACUGGGUGUAAAGGGCGAGUAGGCGGGAUUGCAAGUCAGAUGUGAAAUCUAUCGGCUUAACCGAUAGACUGCAUUUGAAACUGCGGUUCUUGAGUGAUGGAGAGGCAGGCGGAAUUCCUAGUGUAGCGGUGAAAUGCGUAGAUAUUAGGAGGAACACCAGUGGCGAAGGCGGCCUGCUGGACAUUAACUGACGCUGAGGCGCGAAAGCGUGGGGAGCAAACA
rnacentral:rRNA from 1 species